UACGGGGGGGGCAAGCGUUAUCCGGAUUCACUGGGUUUAAAGGGUGCGUAGGUGGGCAGGUAAGUCAGUGGUGAAAUCUCCGGGCUUAACCCGGAAACUGCCAUUGAUACUAUCUGUCUUGAAUACCCUGGAGGUGAGCGGAAUAUGUCAUGUAGCGGUGAAAUGCUUAGAUAUGACAUAGAACACCCAUUGCGAAGGCAGCUCACUACGGGAAUAUUGACACUGAGGCACGAAAGCGUGGGGAUCAAACAGG
rnacentral:rRNA from 1 species